rnacentral:misc_RNA from 1 species
AAGUCGUAACAAGGUUUCCGUAGGUGAACCUGCGGAAGGAUCAUUACAACGUAUCCACGUACCAAACUCUCGAACUGUUCCCGACGGAGCAAAGCGCACUUGUGUGUGUAAGAAGUUAAUGGCCGGCUGUCUUUCGCUGAUGGAGUUCAAUGACUUUUGUCUGAGGACUGAAAGGCUUUCGGUCGCUGGAGCUCCGGCUCUGGGGCUUUGUUUGCUUCGUUGCGGUUUCUACCGUCAGCGUGUUUUACCAUUAUUAACCCCAUGUAAAUUUCGAACUGAACUUGUAACCGUUCUGCGGCUGUUCUUGCUGGCUUCGGUCACGGACAGCGUCAACGCAGCUCAGUUAUUCUUUUACAAAACAAAGAACAACUCUUAACAACGGAUAUCUUGGUUCUC